UUUUACGGAAGCACAUGAAAGCAGCACGACAGGCGCUUCCCAGCGCACAGCUGAGGUGAGAACAAAACAACAUGAGCUGGCGAAGUCUGACCGCAUAGCCUCAAAAAUGUGGACGGAGGUGAAAAACAACAGCAACUAUGUCACCAGCAACGGAAACAGCUCGAAAAUGGCUGACCCAGAUCUGACAUGGCAGCUUCUUCAACAGAGAAACGUUUCAACUGCAGCUGCCACUCGUCCUUCUGGCACAGACGACUCUUUAACCAGGACCAGCGGCAUCAUCCCUGAGGAACUGGUUCACUCAGCUCAGCAGGAUGAAAAGCAAGGAAACAAAUUGUGUCUGGAUUAGGCCCAACAAAAAAUACAACACGCAGCGAAUCAUGCUACGCUGCAGUUGUGUUUGAUUGCAGCCACAGUGUUCAUCACUUUUUUACUUGCUCUCUAUGCCGUCCUGUGGAAGUGCAUGGUGUCGCCGCCACAACGAAAACACAGCAAGGCGAGAGUAAGAGUGCAACAGAGAACGUCUGUGUGAAGACUGGGCCUCGUGGUUGAAAAUACCCUGCAUCUGUCCAGCAGGUUCUUAUGGAUCUUAAUGUUGCAGACCAAAAUCUGAGAGCAGACUUUGCUCCCAGUCUAAGAGUAGCACCAGGGUGACAAUAUGCCACUGAAGAUCCUCCUUACAGAUCCAAAGAUCAAACCGCAAAAAACUAACUGAACUGAGUGGAGGUGCCACCUUUUCCCCUCAGCUUUACUGUUUGUUGGUGGCUCCUGUUGAAACGAAGCUGGCAGGUCAAACUGUUCCGCUUUCUUGUGGGGUUUUUUUUUUUCCCUGUGAACUCUGCACUACUGAGGGAUGAGACAGCUCAGG